CCUACGGGAGGCAGCAGUAGGGAAUAUUGCACAAUGGAGGAAACUCUGAUGCAGCGACGCCGCGUGAGUGAUGAAGGCCUUCGGGUAGUAAAGCUCUGUCGCAGGGGAAUAACACAAUGAAUGUACCCUGUAAGAAAGGAUCGGCUAACUUCGUGCCAGCAGCCGCGGUAAGACGAGGGAUCCUAGCGUUGUUCGGAAUUAUUGGGCGUAAAGCGGGUGUAGGUGGCUUUGUAAGUCAGGUGUGAAAGCCUAGGGCUCAACCCUAGAAGUGCAUUUGAUACUGCGAAGCUUGAGUGUUGGAGAGGAUAGUAGAAUUGUUGGUGUAGUGGUAAAAUACGUAGAUAUCAACAGGAAUACCGGAGGCGAAGGCGGCUAUCUGGCCAAACACUGACACUGAGAUCCGAAAGCGUGGGGAUCAAACAGGAUUAGAUACCCCGGUAGUC
rnacentral:rRNA from 1 species